AAGCGAUCGAUCGAGAGAGAGCGGGAGACCGCCGUCCGCCAAGAGACAAAGCGGCGGCCCGUUUCGUUUGGAUUCCUCCCUGCAGCGAUCGACGCCAAGAAAGAGUCGCCGUCCACCAAGAACAAGCGACGGCCCGUUUCCUUUGGAUUCCUCCUGCAGCGAUGCACGCCACGGUCCUCUUUCUCGCUAAGCCCCCCCUCGAUCCCCAAACUGUUUCGUAUACUACGUGGGGUGGGGUUGCCGUUGAGGCUACAUUCUCUUGCUAAGAUCGAACAAAUGACGGCCCGUUUCUUUGGAUUCCUCCUGCAGCGAUGCACGCCACGGUCAUCUUUCUCGGAACAGAUUAGGGAUCGUGAUGACAAGGACUUCCCCGAUAGUGACUUUGAUGUGGCAGCACUGGCUAUAAUAAUUUGAGCCAGGCAUUUCGAUGUGAUUUACAGUAACGACGGCAUUGAAGAGGCUCGAGGAUCUCUUGAACGAGGAUAUGAUGAGGAAUGAUACCACGAUACGUUUAUUUUGGCGAUUGCUCUUUCAUCCUUCUAGUUCCAGCUAGAUAUUGAGAAGUGACUUCCACCGCAGGUCUACUUGGAGGAUGGAUCCGCAUAAGUGAAUACACUGGUUUGCUUUUGAAAAUGGUUGAGGGUCCAAUGAUCGUUUAACUGAUGAGGUAGUCGCUGGUGGAAAUAAUGAUUUGAAAGACGUUCACUUCUUAAAAUAUCUCAUAUACGUAGGUGGGAACAGAGGAAGGGGUCAGAUUUAUCAUGAUGAUAACAAAAGUAACAAUACAAUCUAAAGAAAAAGGGGAUAUGAAAUAUCCAUAAUUGAUACAUCGGAUGGACGAUAUUAUACCUCUUGGACAAAAACUUCUUGUAUCAUAGGAUGAAUCCCAACUUGAAAUAGUGUUUUAAGAUCUAUUAGGCGUCCAAGGUUUUUUUUGUUCUUCUUGGCAUAUGUUAUUUUGGCACAAGUUUUUUUUUUGUUCUUAAAAAGAAAUAGUUUGAAAAUUUUCAAUUGUACGAAAUGAAUUGCAGUUGGUAAA